UGAAAAGUCAAACGGCAGACAAAUACAAGAAAAGCAAAAAAUAUUUUAAUUAAAGUUACAUUUAAGGAGAGUAUACAGUCUCACCGCGAGUGGAGUUUAAUUCGGAAGAUAAUCAGAUUAUGUAACUGAAAUAUGUUGCAACAGCAAAGUAUCUGCGUUUUUCUGAUGGGAUUAUUUGUAUUUCUGCUAACCCACAGGCCGAGUCUGGUAGAAUGUCGCAAAAUACCGUCUAUGGGCUCUUUACAAUUUUUUGCUAUCGGUGAUUGGGGAGGACAAAUUAUUUCGCCAUAUUACACUAAGGUCGAAAAGGCAGUGGCAGAAGAAUUGGGAAACUUGGCUGAACAUCUCAAACCUGAAUUUAUUCUCGCACUUGGUAUGGUAAAUAUUGUAAUUUAUUGUCAAGAUUGUUAAUAAUGUACGGAAAGAAUGAACUUCUGUUUUAAAAGUAAUACUAAAAAAAUACGGGUUUGCCUCCAUAUAUUAUUGCAACAAAUAUAUAAUGUAGAAUUGUUUGUUUCAACUGAAGUACUAAACGCUGAUCAGGAACGUGGCUUCGUCCUCGUAAUUUUGAUAUUAAAAUCCUCGCACUAGGCAAACGAUUGCCGUCGACAUUUCCAUGUUCGGCGGCAAUUGUUUUGUCUUUAGGCAAUUGUUUUGUCUUUAAAAGACAAAUUGAAGAUGC